UACGAAGGGUGCAAACGUUGCUCGGAAUCAUUGGGCGUAAAGCGCACGUAGGCGGCUUCGCAAGUCGGAUGUGAAAUCCCUCGGCUCAACCGAGGACGUGCAUACGAAACUGCGAGCUUGAGUACUGAAGAGGAUCGCGGAAUUCCCGGUGUACGAGGUGAAAUUCGUAGAUAUCGGGAGGAACACCAGUGGCGAAGGCGGCGAUCUGGGCAGAUACUGACGCUGAGGUGCGAAAGCGUGGGAGCA
rnacentral:rRNA from 1 species